UCCACUGAACCUUAUCAUUUAGAGGAAGGAGAAGUCUAGGUGAACCUGCGGAAGGAUCAUUG
rnacentral:rRNA from 1 species